UACAGAGGGUGCAAGCGUUGUUCGGAAUCAUUGGGCGUAAAGGGCGUGUAGGCGGUAUGUUAAGUCAUGUGUGAAAUCCCUCGGCUCAACCGGGGAACGACGCAUGAAACUGGCAAGCUAGAGUACCAAAGAGGGUGGUGGAAUUCCCGGUGUAGCGGUGAAAUGCGCAGAUAUCGGGAAGAACACCCGUGGCGAAGGCGGCUCUCUGGGACGGUACUGACGCUGAGACGCGAAAGCGUGGGGAGCGAACAGG
rnacentral:rRNA from 1 species